AGUAUCUAUCCCAAAGACCAGGGAGAAAGGAAGGAAAGAUUCUGGUUCUGUCCUCUUCCCCAAGGCAAGGCUGGCUGCCCUACCAACAGAGGCAAAGAGAAGAGUGUGCAAGGCUGGCUGCCCUCCCAACAGAGGCAAAGAGGAGUGUGUGUUGAAAUAUCCAUUGAAUCCCUGAGACAACUGGAUCCUGGCCCAUUGAAUCAUAAACUCAUUUCAGAGAAGAUGAAACUGAUGUGCGUCAAAAAGUUAUGGAGGCUGGGAAGACCUAGAAUGUGGCAUCACUAUUUGGUUAUUUAGAAAAUUGUUACCUCAAAAAUGACCUAGGGGUCCUUAGAAUAAUAACACACAGAAGAAUAGCCUCAUUUUUCUGUUGGGCCCAGGAAACCAUGCCGAUUACCGACCGAGCUCUCAAUGGAAAAAUGCAGUCGGCGUGAACCACGCACGAACACAGCAGAGAAAGAAGAAAACACACACCACGAGGAACCCUAAUAGGACAAUACAUUAUAAGCCUCAUGGUACAUCCACUUGGUGUGCUGGGAGAGUCAGGAUGAGGACCUGAGAAGAACAGCAGCUUGAACCUGACUUCAUUUAACAGCCCACUGCCCUCUUGCCAAGAACCCAUCACAGACCUUCCCAGAAGAGAGGGAUGAGCCUCACCUAUGAAUAAGUCCUCAGAAACUCAAAUUUGAUUCUAAUGGAUUGUUUUCUCAGAAAGACUGAGCAUGUCCCCCCACAUCUCUGUCAUUUCCCACAGUAGUAACCUCUGCAGAUGCCACAUAGAAAACAAAACAAAACAAAAAAACAUGAGGUUGGUGGGCAGAUAGGCAGGGUAUAAACAAACAGCCUUGUAACCCAGAAGCUGUGUGAUAUACAGUAAACUUCACAACACUGAAAAGAUGUCCUAUCUGUUAAAAUGGGGUAAUAACAACUACCCGAAUGUUUAGGAAUAGAACUUCAAUAAAUGAUACAUUUUAUAGUACAGCA
rnacentral:lncRNA from 1 species